rnacentral:rRNA from 1 species
GGCUGCUGUCGCGACCCAGGGCGCACCCAGAAACCCUUUGUGAACUUAUACCUUACUGUUGCCUCGGCGCUAGCUGGUCCUCCGGGGCCCCUCUCCGGAGGAGCAGGCACGCCGGCGGCCAAGUUAACUCUUGUUUUUACACUGAAACUCUGAGAAAAAAAACAUAAAUGAAUCAAAACUUUCAACAACGGAUCUCUUGGUUCUGGCAUCGAUGAAGAACGCAGCGAAAUGCGAUAAGUAAUGUGAAUUGCAGAAUUCAGUGAAUCAUCGAAUCUUUGAACGCACAUUGCGCCCUCUGGUAUUCCGGAGGGCAUGCCUGUUCGAGCGUCAUUUCAACCCUCAAGCCUGGCUUGGUGUUGGGGCACUGCUUCUCCCCCGAGAAGCAGGCCCUGAAAUUCAGUGGCGAGCUCGCCAGGACCCCGAGCGCAGUAGUUAAACCCUCGCUCUGGAAGGCCCUGGCGGUGCCCUGCCGUUAAACCCCCAACUUCUGAAAAUUUGACCUCGGAUCAGGUAGGAAUACCCGCUGAACUUAAGCAUAUCAAUAAGCGGAGGGAGAUC